rnacentral:rRNA from 1 species
GUGGGGAAUUUUGGACAAUGGGCGCAAGCCUGAUCCAGCCAUGUCGCGUGCAGGAUGAAGGCCUUCGGGUUGUAAACUGCUUUUGUACGGAACGAAAAAGCUCUCUCUAAUACAGGGGGUGAAUGACGGUACCGUAAGAAUAAGCACCGGCUAACUACGUGCCAGCAGCCGCGGUAAUACGUAGGGUGCAAGCGUUAAUCGGAAUUACUGGGCGUAAAGCGUGCGCAGGCGGUUAUGUAAGACAGAGGUGAAAUCCCCGGGCUCAACCUGGGAACUGCCUUUGUGACUGCAUAGCUGGAGUGCGGCAGAGGGGGAUGGAAUUCCGCGUGUAGCAGUGAAAUGCGUAAAUAUGCGGAGGAACACCGAUGGCGAAGGCAAUCCCCUGGGCCUGCACUGACGCUCAUGCACGAAAGCGUGGGGAGCAAACAGGAUUAGAAACCCGAGUAGUCC